rnacentral:lncRNA from 1 species
UCAAGAAAGGCAUCGUUCUAAGGUACAUGCAAAUCUACACCCACAUGCAAAACCUAAUGCACUCAUUCCCCCAAAUUCACCCUAAAUGACAUAUACUUCAGAAAUUUACAAUGUGAAAGCAUAAAGUAAUGAGAAGGAGCAAACCUGGUUUGAGAUCUGUAGAAGUUAGAAUGGACAAUGAAGGUUGCAAUGUAACAGGUGGGGUUGUGAGUGAGAUGCAAAGUGAGAGUGUGUGUGAGUUCUGCAGUUCAGAGUGAUAAAAAGAAAAAUGGUACUUGGGCCCAAAAGAGUGGCCUGCUGAGAAUUAAA